rnacentral:tRNA from 1 species
GGGGCGGUAGCUCAGUUGGGAGAGCGCUGCGUUCGCAAUGCAGAGGCCGAGGGUUCGACUCCCUUCCGCUCCACCA